rnacentral:rRNA from 1 species
UGAACGCUGGCGGCGUGCCUAAUACAUGCAAGUCGAGCGAACGGACGAGAAGCUUGCUUCUCUGAUGUUAGCGGCGGACGGGUGAGUAACACGUGGAUAACCUACCUAUAAGACUGGGAUAACUUCGGGAAACCGGAGCUAAUACCGGAUAAUAUUUUGAACCGCAUGGUUCAAAAGUGAAAGACGGUCUUGCUGCCACUUAUAGAUGGAUCCGCGCUGCAUUAGCUAGUUGGUAAGGUAACGGCUUACCAAGGCAACGAUGCAUAGCCGACCUGAGAGGGUGAUCGGCCACACUGGAACUGAGACACGGUCCAGACUCCUACGGGAGGCAGCAGUAGGGAAUCUUCCGCAAUGGGCGAAAGCCUGACGGAGCAACGCCGCGUGAGUGAUGAAGGUCUUCGGAUCGUAAAACUCUGUUAUUAGGGAAGAACAUAUGUGUAAGUAACUGUGCACAUCUUGACGGUACCUAAUCAGAAAGCCACGGCUAACUACGUG